rnacentral:lncRNA from 1 species
GAAAAUCUUCCCCAUUUAAAGAUCAGAAUAACCAACUAUAUUUUACUGUAAUUUUACACUUUAUUAAACAUUAAGUAGAGUGUAGGCUUUAAGUUUCUUCCUCAUGGUUAUGAAAAUUUUCUAAUCAACAUUAGAUAUUUUCUUGUUUAGCACCUCUAGCUUUACUAUCAAAAUUAUUGGCAUUUAUUUUAAAGAUUCCGAUUGAUUCCUCACUUCAGGUUUUACAGACAUUUCACCAGAGGAAUUGAGGCUUGAAUACCAUAACUUCUUAACCAGCAAUAACUUACAGAGUUAUCUAAAUUCUGUCCAACGUUUAAUAAAUCAAUGGAGGAACAGGGUAAAUGAACUGAAAAGUCUAAAUAUAUCAACUAAAGUAGCUUUGAAAUGCCUUUGGAAGAUAUAUACCCACCUGUCUCCAAAGAUCUAUGGUCCCGACUGUGCUCUCUGAUGUAAAGGAUGGAGUAAAUCAAGCAGCACCUGCAUUUGGAUUUGGCAGCAGUCAAGCAGCAACAUUUAUGUCGCCAGGCUUUCCAGUCAAUAACAGCAGCAGUGAUAAUGCUCAGAACUUUAGUUUUAAAACAAACUCUGGAUUUGCUGCUGCCUCUUCUGGAAGCCCUGCUGGUUUUGGGAGUUCCCCAGCAUUUGGAGCUGCAGCCUCUACCAGUUCAGGUAUCUCUACUUCUGCUCCAGCUUUUGGAUUUGGGAAGCCUGAAGUCACAUCGGCUGCAUCAUUUUCAUUCAAAAGCCCUGCAGCUUCCAGUUUUGGAUCACCUGGAUUUUCAGGACUUCCAGCUUCCUUGGCAACAGGUCCUGUCAGAGCUCCAGUGGCCCCAGCCUUUGGAGGUGGCAGUUCUGUGGCUGGUUUUGGUAGUCCGGGCUCACAUUCUCACACUGCUUUUUCUAAGCCAUCCAGUGACACUUUUGGAAAUAGCAGCAUAUCCACUUCUCUGUCAGCCUCAAGCAGCAUCAUUGCAACAGAUAAUGUGUUAUUCACACCCAGAGAUAAACUAACAGUAGAAGAACUGGAACAAUUUCAAUCCAAGAAAUUUACUCUGGGAAAAAUUCCAUUAAAGCCUCCACCUCUGGAACUUCUAAAUGUUUAAAAGGGCAAUUUUAAAUACAAAAAAGAAUGAUGUUUAAAAUUGCUUUGAGUGAUUCAUACAGAGAUGUAUAUAUGCAUACAUGUAUAUAUUCAUAAGGAAUAUAAGCUUCCAUCAAUAGUGAUUUUAAAUUUGAUUUUUUUCUUAACUCUAAAUAUUUAAGUAAAAAGUAACAAAAACUCUGCAAGCAAGGGAAUUUUUUUGUACUGUAAUUUUGAAUGGAACUGAAAAAUUAUGCACGAAUAAAGUACUUUUCUCAUGCC